rnacentral:rRNA from 1 species
UACAGAGGUCUCGAGCGUUGUUCGGAUUCAUUGGGCGUAAAGGGUGCGUAGGUGGCACCGUAAGUCGGGUGUGAAAUCCUGAGGCUUAACCUCGGAACUGCAUUCGAUACUGCGGUGCUUGAGGACUGGAGAGGAGACUGGAAUUCAUGGUGUAGCAGUGAAAUGCGCAGAUAUCAGGAGGAACACCGGUGGCGAAGGCGGGUCUCUGGGCCGAUACUGACGCUGAGGAGCGAAAGCGUGGGGAGCGAACAGG